CCAGUAGUGUAUGCUUCUCCUAAAGACUAAGCCAUGCAUGUCUCCGAAUAGAAGAGCAAUUCUCUCUGAAUCUGCGAACGGCUCCGCAAACCAGUUGUAAACUACAGCAAGCAAGCUCCGGUGCCGAUCGAAAGGUUGGUGCUGGGGCGAUAAGGAUAACCCUGGUAAUUCUGAGGCUAAUACAAGAACGUAACACCUGGCCGACCGGCAACGGAAGGCUGGGGUGCGUGUGAUAUAGAGGCAAAGUUUUGCUGGGAAUGGACACAUGCUCUGACCACCAUACCAAACAGUCUCCAAGCCUGGGUUCGCCCGGGUGCGGUCUCUGGGUGGCUCUUGCUUUGUGCUUCUGACCUAUCAACUAGAUGGCAGCGUAACGGACAUGCUAUGGUGACAACGGGUACAGAGGAUAAGGGUUCGAUCCUGGAGAGUGGGCCUGAGAGAUUGCUCACACUUCUAAGGAAGGCAGCAGGCGCGCAACGUUCCCCUUGGGCAAAGCCCGAGGGCGUUAGGGGACAUAUGAAUGCCUGCCUUAUGGUGGGCAAUUCAAAUGG
rnacentral:rRNA from 1 species